UUUUUCAGAAGAGAGUUCUGUAUCCAGCGCCGUCUCUGAAGAAGAGGAUAUGUUUUUGGCAGGUCUCGAUCCAGUUUUAGAUCGUGACGAUGAUGAUGAUGAUGAGAGUACCAGACAGAGGCCUCUCUGGACAACAGACAAACAAAGUGUCCAUGUGUUGCUGCAACAUCUACAGCUGUCUCUGGGAGUUCAAGAGGAAAGAGACAGCCCAGCACUUUGUGUGAUGGCACUUCAGCACCAAUAUUCUGCAACAGGAUUUGGCAAAGGCUAAAAACCAGAAGCCAAUGUCUCAAAAGGCAUUCUGGGAGACUGAUUUUGGAGCUGGCUGGACAUCCCAAAAAAAGCAAGGUGCCUGACCCUCCUCCUCGUCGAUCUUGUGAGUGUCACAGUCCUGUGCACAUCAACUUUUUCUGCUCACUUUUUGAGAAAUGUUUAUUACUGUCUUGAUUGCUAAUAACAAAGAGAAACUUUUGUUUGUAGAUGUAUACAAAUAUAUAAAUAAAAACUUUUUAUUUGCUAAA